UACGGAGGGUGCAAGCGUUGUUCGGAAUUAUUGGGCGUAAAGCGCGCGUAGGCGGUUUGGUAAGUCAGAUGUGAAAGCCCAGGGCUUAACCCAGGAAGUGCAUUUGAAACUGCCGCUCUGGAGUAUGGGAGAGGAGAGUGGAAUUCCCAGUGUAGAGGUGAAAUUCGUAGAUAUUGGGAGGAACACCCGUGGCGAAGGCG
rnacentral:rRNA from 1 species